AAACAAAAGGGAAAACUCAAAUGUUAUAAUCAUCUAUGAUCAUGCGAAAGCGACGCUAGUGAGGAUUGGAUCAGGUUUUGCAUCCUAUCCCUCAAACUGGAUAUCGUAUUUACCAAUGGUUCAGACGAUCCCACCCCAUCUCUAAAGGAGGGGUUGCUGUCAUGUUGUUGUUGUAUUUGCCUCUCCAAAUACUUUGUGAGACAAGCACCUGCUAUGUUGAUUAAGCUAAGAGAAGGAUUUGAAUGCAUAAGCUUGGUAACAAGAAAUCCUGCUAAAACCUGCUGCCCUGACCUCACAAGCUCCGAGACGAAGCAGGGAAAGAUCAGUCUUGGGAAAAGAUCAAUAUAAUAUUUUGAAAUACUCUCACUUUCUGCAGAUUCACCACAUCCGGAACUUGAUAACUGGGACUCUUGGCACUGUCGAGAGAAGUUCCCCACCAUAAAGCAAAUAUAAGAGAAUGUGGUACCAUAUGAAGAU
rnacentral:misc_RNA from 1 species